rnacentral:snRNA from 1 species
NNNNNNACCUGCAGGGAGAUAACUGAUCAUGUAGGUUUUUUCCCCAGACGAAGCUAUCUAUCUUUGCACUCCAGAUGUGCUGACCCUGCGAUUUCCCCAAAUGUGAGAAACUUGACUGCAUAAUUUGUGGUAGUGGAGGACUGCGUUUAUGCUCUCCCCUG